AGAUGGCGACCGGCGCACGGGUGAGUAACACGUAUCCAACCUGCCGAUAACUCGGGGAUAGCCUUUCGAAAGAAAGAUUAAUACCCGGUGGUAUAAUCAGACCGCAUGGUUUGAUUAUUAAAGAAUUUCGGUUAUCGAUGGGGAUGCGUUCCAUUAGGCAGUUGGUGAGGUAACGGCUCACCAAACCUUCGAUGGAUAGGGGUUCUGAGAGGAAGGUCCCCCACAUUGGAACUGAGACACGGUCCAA
rnacentral:rRNA from 1 species